GGUUAAGCGACUAAGCGUACACGGUGGAUGCCCUGGCAGUCAGAGGCGAUGAAGGACGUGCUAAUCUGCGAUAAGCGUCGGUGAGGUGAUAUGAACCGUUAUAACCGGCGAUUUCCGAAUGGGGAAACCCAGUGUGUUUCGACACACUAUCAUUAACUGAAUCCAUAGGUUAAUGAGGCGAACCGGGGGAACUGAAACAUCUAAGUACCCCGAGGAAAAGAAAUCAACCGAGAUUCCCCCAGUAGCGGCGAGCGAACGGGGAGGAGCCCAGAGCCUGAAUCAGUGUGUGUGUUAGUGGAAG
rnacentral:rRNA from 1 species